CCAUGGUAUAAUGACAACACACGCACCCUAAAGAGAGCAGCCCGGAAAAUGGAGCACAGAGGUCAGUGUUACAGCAAGAAGAAGAUGUCUUUAUGAAGCCCAAGUUCAUGGACCCACUUUUACAGUCAGCUGUACAAUUUUUAAAUUUCUGUUUAAAAGUUGUUUCACCUACAAAUAUAAAUAAAACAGAAAAGACCUGUUCAA